GAACAGCUUCCAAUGUAUUCACCUUCUGUGUCAAAGCAAAGAUCGUUGACUGCAGCAGUGUGAGCAGCAAACUCUUUAACCUGAUUGCCGAGAAAAUCUAAAAUGUGAACGGCUCCACUGUAUGUACCAAGGGCAAUCAUUCUCUCCGCGACGGAAAUACACGUAGCAGCAUCGCUUGAAAGAAGCGAUUGCACACUGCCUCCCAUCCUCUGAUACUUGAGCCUUGGUUCAUAUUCAUCUUCUUCUCCGUCCUCUUCUUCUUCAUCGGAAUAUUCUUCUUCUUCGUCCCUCUCGUCGUCGCCGUCGAUUCCUUUAUCCGAUAACUUUCGUGACAUCCCGGAACUCCGUUCGCCGGAGGAAUUAUACAGCGAUUGCCGAGUGGAGAUCUGUAAAGGGGAGUACCUUUUUUG
rnacentral:misc_RNA from 1 species